GGGAAUGUGGCUUAGUGGUAGAGUGCUUGCCUAGCAUGCAUGAAGCCCCAGGUUCAAUUCCUCAGUACCA
rfam:Dipodomys ordii contig_8022, whole genome shotgun sequence.